CAAGUCGAACGCGAAAGUGGAGCAAUCCAUGAGUAGAGUGGCAAACGGGUGAGUAACACGUGGGCGACCUACCUUCGAGUGGGGGAUAACAUUCCGAAAGGAGUGCUAAUACCGCAUGACAUCCUCUGUUUGGAUACAGAGACAUCAAAGCCGGGGCUCGUAAGACCUGGCGCUUGAAGAGGGGCCCGCGUCCGAUUAGCUAGUUGGUGGGGUAACGGCCCACCAAGGCUCCGAUCGGUAUCCGGCCUGAGAGGGCGGACGGACACACUGGAACUGAGACACGGUCCAGACUCCUACGGGAGGCAGCAGUGGGGAAUUGUUCACAAUGGGCGCAAGCCUGAUGACGCAACGCCGCGUGGAGGAUGAAGACCUUCGGGUCGUAAACUCCUUUCGACCGAGAUGAAUUCUUGCCGGCCUAACAUGCCGGCAGGGUGACAGUAUCGAGGGAAGCAGCCCCGGCUAACUCCGUGCCAGCAGCCGCGGUAAUACGGGGGGGGCAAGCGUUGUUCGGAAUUACUGGGCGUAAAGGGUUCGUAGGUGGCUGGCUAAGCCAGACGUGAAAUCCCUCAGCUUAACUGGGGAACUGCGUCUGGGACUGGUCGGCUUGAGUGCAGGAGAGGAACGCGGAAUUCCAGGUGUAGCGGUGAAAUGCGUAGAUAUCUGGAGGAACACCGGUGGCGAAGGCGGCGUUCUGGACUGCAACUGACACUGAGGAACGAAAGCCAGGGGAGCAAACGGGAUUAGAUACCCCGGUAGUCCUGGCCCUAAACGAUGAAUGCUUGGUGUGGCGGGUAUCGAUCCCUGCC
rnacentral:rRNA from 1 species